rnacentral:tRNA from 3 species
GGGUAGGUGGCGGAGCGGCCAAUCGCACCAGACUGUAAAUCUGGCGACCGGAAGGUCUUCGGAGGUUCAAAUCCUCCCCUGCCCA